GACCAACCUUACCAAGUGCUGGUGGUAACGCAGAGCAACAAGGACUUUCAUACACAGCUAGUGUGGAGGUAAAAUGAUUGAGCUGUUCGGGUGAACAGUGUGGCAGUUUCUUAGAAGACAGCAGGCCUCGUUCUCGCCACGGAACCCAGCAGAGCUUCCAAGACACGAAGAGAGACACGCCAAAAAGCGCGAGGCCACAGGCAGUGACCACGAGGGUCAGCAGGCUCACCGAGAUAUCUGCAAAGAAGCAAAGAUCAAAGCAUGCCAACAAUCCACGACAUGAAACAACUGGUCUUUCUGCUGAGAUAUGCGUGUGAGGCCCAACCACAAGUCACUUACCUACUGAGCCAAGCUGACCACCCACCAUCCGUGUGCUUUUCAGCAUGUCUCUGAAGAUACUUGAUCAUUCUUAUGAAAUGAUAAAACAGUUUCUUCAUGAAAAAUUGAAAAAUUGCUCUUGAGAGAGCGCCAGCUGCUAGGGCUGGUGAUGGAUCUAAUGUAUCU